AACUUUCGGCAAUGGAUCUCUUGGCUCUCGCAUCGAUGAAGAACGCAGCGAAAUGCGAUAAGUAAUGUGUAUUGCAGAAUUCAGUGAAUCAUCGAAUCUUUGAACGCACCUUGCGCCCUUUGGCUAUCCUGAAGGGCAUGCCUGUUUGUGCAUCAUAAACAUCUCAACUCUCUCGGUUUCCUGUGAUGAGAUUGGACUUUGGGGGUCUUGUUGGCUUGUGUUCAGCUCCCCUCAAAUCUAUCAGCUUCCCAGUGUUUGGCAGCAUCACAGGUGUGAUAAAUAUCUACGCUUGUGGUUCUUUGCCAGGUCUGUCCUCACCUUGUAGAGGGCUCGCUGGAGCUCAUAGUUGUCUCUCCUUGGUGGAGACAGUUGUUUGAAGUUUGGUCUCAAAUCAGGUAGGAUUACCCGCUGAACUUAAGCAUAUCAAUAAGCGGAGGCU
rnacentral:misc_RNA from 1 species